AGCGAACGCUGGCGGCAGGCCUAACACAUGCAAGUCGAACGAAGUCUUCGGACUUAGUGGCGGACGGGUGAGUAACACGUGGGAACGUACCUUUUGGUUCGGAACAACUCAGGGAAACUUGAGCUAAUACCGGAUGAGCCCUUAGGGGGAAAGAUUUAUCGCCGAAAGAGCGGCCCGCGUUAGAUUAGCUAGUUGGUGAGGUAAAGGCUCACCAAGGCUACGAUCUAUAGCUGGUCUGAGAGGAUGAUCAGCCACACUGGGACUGAGACACGGCCCAGACUCCUACGGGAGGCAGCGGUGGGGAAUCUUGCGCAAUGGGCGAAAGCUUGACGCAGCCAUGCCGCGUGAAUGAUGAAGGUCUUAGGAUUGUAAAAUUCUUUUACCAGGGACGAUAAUGACGGUACCUGGAGAAAAAGCCCCGGCUAACUUCGUGCCAGCCGCCGCCGUAAUAC
rnacentral:rRNA from 1 species